CAAAAAAACAAAUUUUACCCACGAUUAUUUAGCCACGAUUUAAUAAAUCGUGUCAAAUUUCACACAAAAAUGUAAACCUCUCUACGAAUUAAGAACAGACACUAGAAUACCGUGGCAAAAUCAGGCGAGAAUUGAAAAAAACAAUACCCAGCAACCAAAUCUCUCUACAACCAAUUGCUCCGUCGUCUCCUCAAUGUCCCUGAAACAAUUGCUUAGUCGUCUCCUCCUUCGAUUGUGGUGGAAUCACUUCUAGGUUUGUGGACUUAAAUGGUCUCCUGAUAGCUGUGAAUUAACUUUUGGUAGAAAUGCCGGUGGUAGCAAAACCAAUGCGAGGAGAGGUCAUCAAAUGGUUAAAAUAUCGGAGUAUUUUUCUCAAGAUCAAGAAUAUAAUGACACUUGAGGUGUUCCCUUGAAGAUAUUUGUUCAUCCUAAUGACACCAUUGAAGAAGUAUAAGGAGCUGAACAUUCUGAUCUGCAGUGUGUACUUUCAACUAAGAUUCUUCUUAGCUUUUUGUGCGUAGCAUAUUUCUGAACCACUAUAUAUGUGGUGUUCCUCCUGACUUUUUGCAAUUCCAUCAGACUACAAUUGUAGAAUUUUCUGUGAAUAUUCCAUUACAUGGUGAAAUUUUGAUCAUUAUUGUAAUGAUUAGUGUACUAUGAUAAGUGUAUUAGUGAAUGUCUUUAAGAUGUGUGAACACUAGCAAAAUGCAGGGGAAUAAUUUUUUUUUUUAAAAAAGAAACCUGUAUAGUUUUGCCACGGUUAAACAGUGGCUAAUUUAUAUGAGAAUUGGAAUA